UCGGGAAACCAAAGGAACUAAGAACGAACAUAGAUAAAAACUAGGGUGGCAUUUCAACAAUGAGAAACCAAAGAAACAACAAGCUAAGUAGAGGUAGAAACCUAAGAUUGCAUCUCCACGAUAAGAAACUAAAGGAACUGACUUUGAACAUAGAUAGAUGCUAGAAAGGCAUCUCGGUGAUGGCAAACCAAAGGAAAAAACGACUAAGCUUAGAUAGAAACUAGGAUGGCAUCCCAAUGAAAGGAAAUCAAAUUGAACAUAGAUAGAACCUACGAUAGCAUCCUAGUGAAGAUAAACAGAAGGAACUAAGAUGGGAAACUAAGGAAACUUAGAAUGAACAUAGAUAAAGCCAAGAAAG
rnacentral:lncRNA from 1 species